rnacentral:misc_RNA from 1 species
UCCGAGUUGACCCCGGCAGUAUCCCAUGAGUUCCCACCAUUACGUGCUGGCAACAUAGAACGAGGGUUGCGCUCGUUGCGGGACUUAACCCAACAUCUCACGACACGAGCUGACGACAACCAUGCACCACCUGUUUACGAGUGUCCAAAGAGUUCCCUAUUUCUAGGGCGUUCUCGUAUAUGUCAAGCCUUGGUAAGGUUCUUCGCGUUGCAUCGAAUUAAGCCACAUGCUCCGCCGCUUGUGCGGGCCCCCGUCAAUUCCUUUGAGUUUUAGCCUUGCGGCCGUACUCCCCAGGCGGGAUGCUUAAAGCGUUAGCUGCGCCACUGACGAGCAAGCUCGCCAACGGCUGGCAUUCAUCGUUUACGGCGUGGACUAC